UGGGGAAUAUUGCACAAUGGGCGCAAGCCUGAUGCAGCCAUGCCGCGUGUAUGAAGAAGGCCUUCGGGUUGUAAAGUACUUUCAGCGAGGAGGAAGGCGUUGUGGUUAAUAACCGCAACGAUUGACGUUACUCGCAGAAGAAGCACCGGCUAACUCCGGGCCAGCAGCCGCGGUAAUACGGAGGGUGCAAGCGUUAAUCGGAAUUACUGGGCGUAAAGCGCACGCAGGCGGUCUGUCAAGUCGGAUGUGAAAUCCCCGGGCUCAACCUGGGAACUGCAUUCGAAACUGGCAGGCUAGAGUCUUGUAGAGGGGGGUAGAAUUCCAGGUGUAGCGGUGAAAUGCGUAGAGAUCUGGAGGAAUACCGGUGGCGAAGGCGGCCCCCUGGACAAAGACUGACGCUCAGGUGCGAAAGCGUGGGGAGCAAACA
rnacentral:rRNA from 1 species